UAUAUCCGACCUCAGAUCGGGCGAGAUU
rnacentral:rRNA from 1 species